AGAGUUUGAUCCUGGCUCAGAUUGAACGCUGGCGGCACGCUUAACACAUGCAAGUCGAGCGGUAACAUGAUAAGUGCUUGCACUUAUUGAUGACGAGCGGCGGACGGGUGAGUAACACGUAGGAACUUGCCCAAUAGAGGGGGAUAACUAGCGGAAACGCUAGCUAAUACCGCAUAUACUCGCGAGAGGAAAGCUGCCAGCAAUGGUGGCGCUAUUGGAGAGGCCUGCGUCCGAUUAGCUAGUUGGUAGGGUAAGAGCCUACCAAGGCGAGGAUCGGUAACUGGUCUGAGAGGACGACCAGUCACACUGGGACUGAGACACGGCCCAGACUCCUACGGGAGGCAGCAGUGGGGAAUCUUGGACAAUGGGGGCAACCCUGAUCCAGCGAUGCCGCGUGAGUGAAGAAGGCCUUCGGGUCGUAAAGCUCUUUAGGUCGGGAGGAAGCUUGGUAGUUUAAGAAAUAAUCAAGUUGACUGUACCGACGGAAUAAGCACCGGCAAACUCUGUGCCAGCAGCCGCGGUAAUACAGAGGGUGCGAGCGUUAAUCGGAUUUACUGGGCGUAAAGGGCGCGUAGGUGGUUAUAUGAGUGUGAUGUGAAAGCCCCGGGCUUAACCUGGGAAGUGCAUCGCAAACGAUAUAACUGGAGUAGAUGAGAGGGUGGUGGAAUUUCCGGUGUAGCGGUGAAAUGCGUAGAUAUCG
rnacentral:rRNA from 1 species